rnacentral:precursor_RNA from 1 species
CUAGGAGUUCACAAAGAUAGUAAUAAGAAAGAUGAGCUCAUUGUAAUAUGAGCUUCAUUUAUACAUUUCAUAUUACCAUUAGCUCAUCUUUUUUAUUACUACCUUCAACAAGGCCUUCUA